rnacentral:lncRNA from 1 species
GAAAGAAAUAAGGGUGUAGUCUGCGAGGAAGAAAGCGAGAAAGGAAUGAAAGGGAUUUUAGGGUUCAAGGGUGAGUGUGAUUUUGAGAAGGAGAUGAGUGUCGGGAUCAAUGAGAUUUUGAGAAGGAGAUGAGUGUCGGGAUGAAUGAAACAGAAAGGUAAAAAAUUAGGACAUUCUCGAAGCAUUAAAACUCCUUUGAAAUAGAGGGGGUUAUAAACCUCCUUUAAAAAUCAUUAAAACUCCCAUUACCAUUAACACCUUCAUGAUUUAAAUUAAACAUUAUGAAAUAUAUUAAUUUGAGGGGGUUUUUCAUAACCUCCUCUAAAUAACCCCCUCUAAAUAAGUUUUUUUUUGUAGUGAGACGAGUGAAUUGAACUUUCGCAAUCUUUGAAAAUCUUUAAAUUUUAGAAUGAAAUUCUUUGAAAUCGAAUUGACCAAGUAACGAUGCAAUAAAUAUAUUAAACUAGAAAAAUUAAGUCAUAUUGUAACAUCUCAAUAAUAUACGACAAUCAUAUAUAGUGUAGACGUCAUCAAUUAUAAUAAAGGAAAACAAUCAAGAGUAAUU